GGGGGUUCACAGUAUAAAUGUGCAGAUGGUGUGUGACUCUAUGUGCCAUAUCACAAAUGUGGAAGCUAAAUGGCCCGGAUCAGUGCAUGACUCAAGAAUUUUCAGAGAGUCAGGGUUAUGCACAUUAUUUGAGCGUGGGGCCUACGAUGGGAUUCUCCUUGGAGACAGGGGUUAUGCAUGCAGGCAGUACUUCAUGACACCGUUCCCUGACCCCAACCCUGGGCCACGAACCCGCUACAAUGCAGCUCUAGCCAGGACAAGGGCACGCAUUGAAAUGACCUUUGGGCAAAUAAAGGGAAGAUUUCAGUGUCUGAAAAGUC